UACUACGAAGCUCGCGAGUCUCCCAGCCCCUGCUUGUACUUCUGAAUUGAACACUUAGAAAAUUUCUAACUGUUGGGGCUUCCAUUGCAGAUUGUAGUACGAGGUUCGAGCUCAGCAGAGAAGAGUUCGAGGUGAUAGAGGACAUCUACAAGAGGCCUCUGAAGCUCCGCCACUUUGACCAUCUAAUUGACAGGAGUCGCUACUUUCUGGAUUUUUGACUGAUGGCAUCCAGAGGUACGAGGCUCCCAUAGUUGUAAAUUUCCUUGUCCUUUUGAUUGGAUAUUGAUGUACUGACUUGACGUUCUUAUGCAGAUAAAUUCAAGAGAAAUGAGUACCCAGCUCCAGACAUGGCUACAAUUCUGAAGGCCACCACCACCGUCAAGGCUAGGGCCUUGAAGCCGGGGUCUAGUGGGGCCAAGGAGGUUCGAGGCAGGGUGGAACGCCUUUCCAAGGACACUACUCCAAAAGCUUCCGAAGAGGGAGCUUCCC
rnacentral:lncRNA from 1 species